UACGAAGGGGGCUAGCGUUGCUCGGAAUUACUGGGCGUAAAGCGCGCGUAGGCGGACUCUUAAGUCGGUGGUGAAAUCCUGGAGCUCAACUCCAGAACUGCCUUCGAUACUGAGAGUCUCGAGUCCGAGAGAGGUGAGUGGAACUGCGAGUGUAGAGGUGAAAUUCGUAGAUAUUCGCAAGAACACCAGUGGCGAAGGCGGCUCACUGGCUCGGUACUGACGCUGAGGUGCGAAAGCGUGGGGAGCAAACAGG
rnacentral:rRNA from 1 species